GUAUAUAUUCGCUGUGCAACUCUAGUGCUUUGCCAGUGUGUAUAGACCUGCCAGAGUGUGGUGUAUGAAACACCGAACGAGCCACUGUGCAACUGACCAGCAUAUGUUAUGUCCUUCUCUGUUCAGGUACACAAAUAUUUUGUAUGUCUGUAAUUGUAUAUAUUCGCUGUGCAACUCUAGUGCUUUGCCAGUGUGUAUAGACCUGCCAGAGUGUGGUGUAUGAAACACCGAACGAGCCACUGUGCAACUGACCAGCAUAUGUUAUGUCCUUCUCUGUUCAGAUAUAAAGUGUUGGUCUGGAUACUC